rnacentral:ribozyme from 1 species
UGCCCAGCAACUCCUAUCCCUACCUCCUCGUGGUACUGGCCGGGUACGAGUAACCUUAGAGAAGAUCGGGUAACCAACCCCGGUGGUAACUUUGGUCGUAUGCUGACAGGGAAGG